rnacentral:rRNA from 1 species
UUUGAGCUAUUUCUAUUGUUUGUGUUGGAUCAAAACAAAAAAAAUGUCUCAAUUUUUGAUCCGAUACCAAUACCUACUUUGGGGAAUAAUGUACUUAAAAUUGUGGUCGACAACCUAAACCUUGCGCUUGAAGUUGCAAACCCUGCAUUCAAGGAUGAUAUCUCUAAAUGGGAAUGCAUAGUUCAUGUUGCUCCAACAAAUUCACAUUGUGCCCUGUCCGGUUAUUUGGUUUUUAAUUACAUGCACUCAUUGUGCGAUGGAAAACUAUAUUUUCCCAUACCCAACGAUAGUUUUCAGCUGAGGAAGCAAUUUUUGGUGCAUCUUUUAAAGUAUGAUGAGAACGAAGCUCAAAACAAUAUCCCAUACAUUGAACGAAGCAUCAUUGAUUGCAUCUAU